AAAUUGAAGAGUUUGAUCAUGGCUCAGAUUGAACGCUGGCGGCAGGCCUAACACAUGCAAGUCGAACGGUAACAGGAAGCAGCUUGCUGCUUCGCUGACGAGUGGCGGACGGGUGAGUAAUGUCUGGGAAACUGCCUGAUGGAGGGGGAUAACUACUGGAAACGGUGGCUAAUACCGCAUAACGUCGCAAGACCAAAGAGGGGGACCUUCGGGCCUCUUGCCAUCAGAUGUGCCCAGAUGGGAUUAGCUUGUUGGUGAGGUAACGGCUCACCAAGGCGACGAUCCCUAGCUGGUCUGAGAGGAUGACCA
rnacentral:rRNA from 1 species